rnacentral:tRNA from 1 species
GCAUCAAUGGGGUAGUGGUAACCUUGGUCGUUGCCAAACAAUGUUGAAGUUCGACCAGCCGCGAGUUCAAUUCUUGCUUGAUGCA